CCCCCCCCCCCGAUAUUGAUCUGAAACCACUGGGCUGCACAAUCUCCAUCACAUCACUCAACAACCAUUCAAUCCACCUCCUCAAAUGGAACCAUCCCAUUGGUUUCAACAGGAAGAAGUCAUAGUCAUGGCCACUGGAGAAGAGGAUGCGAUGUUUGGUCGUGGAUCUAUCAUCACUCCAUUGUACAAGCGCUCCAGGAAUGUGACGACCUGAAGUGAUGUGUCGCCACCCGAAUCGGGCGCUCUGGUUGGGCCCCGGCCAGUACACGGGCCAGCCGCCAUGACCGGAAGCAGCUCCACUUUACUGCCGGCCAGAUGGUUCCAAGCUGCGGAAUCGUCUCGCUCCGAGCACCGUGUCACGAAUCGCCCUGCACCGAACUCCCGCCUGUCCACAGUGACCGGCGGUCAGCGCCGGUCAAUGCACUGCUUCUCUGUAAGUCAUGUGGCCUGAGAAGUACAGCGCACCUUUGCCUGGCUGCAGCUUCGCUGGGUGGAGAGGCGAGAGGACGUUCGCCGUCCGCGGGAGACACCCGUGGCCGCGGUGGUCAGCGAAGACCGACGCUACUGUCAUCAUCUGGAUCGGCUUGAAAUAUUCUUCCGCAACAUCUCCAGCCCUUGCUGCGACCAUAUUCUCUUCUUCCUCAUCAGCUCAAAGACUUGGAAAAAAAACAACAAAAACGAAGGUGAUUUCUGAUUGACCAACAACCUUCAUUCACUAUUACAAGCUCACCAAACUGAUCUGCAGAUUCCAUUAUAAUCACUUCAUUCAAGAUCUACUUAAAAUACUGCAGUAAAUUACCUUUGCAGUUCAACAACCAAGACCUAGCAAACGAGUUCUACCUUGUAAACUCACAAAAUUCGGGAAAAUCAGGAAGAGAGUUCUGCCAAGAUGGCUCCCAAUGUGGAGACCUACCUUGGAGACUCAGGAAAUUCAGGAAAAAUCAGGAAGAGAGUUCUGCCAAGAUGGCUCACAAUGUGAGACCUACCUUGGAGACUCGGGAAAUUCAGGAAAAAUCAGGAAAAGUGUUCUGCUUUGGAGACUUGAAAAGCAGGUUCUAUUUUGGAGACUCCACUUAUGGGUUCUACCUUAGAGACCUUUGGAGUUCUCAACAUAUCGAUGUA
rnacentral:lncRNA from 1 species